rnacentral:rRNA from 1 species
UACGGAGGGAGCUAGCGUUGUUCGGAAUUACUGGGCGUAAAGGGAGCGUAGGCGGGCUCUUAAGUUGGAUGUUUAAAACCGGGGCCUAACCCCGGCGUGGCAUCCAAAACUGGGAGUCUUGAAUGGGACAGAGGCCAGUGGAAUUAGAGGUGUAGCGGUGGAAUGCGUAGAUAUCUCUAAGAACACCAGUUGCGAAGGCGGCUGGCUGGGUCCACAUUGACGCUGAGGCUCGAAAGCGUGGGGAGCAAACAGG